rnacentral:rRNA from 1 species
UACGUAGGGUCCGAGCGUUGUCCGGAUUUAUUGGGCGUAAAGAGCGUGUAGGCGCCAGACAGGUCCGUUGUGAAAACUGGAGGCUUAACCUUCAGACGUCGAUGGAAACCGUCUGGCUAGAGUCCGGAAGAGGAGAGUGGAAUUCCUGGUGUAGCGGUGAAAUUCGUAGAUAUCGGGAGGAACACCAGUGGCGAAGGCGGCGAUCUGGGAAGAUACUGACGCUGAGGUGCGAAAGCGUGGGUAGCAAACAGG